GUGGAAGUCGGGCUGGAGUAGUCUGAUGGGCAAGUAAAGGUAAAGAAAGGUAGCAAGAAAUACAGACUGCUUCCUUCAUCUGGCCUAUAAAUUGCCACUCAGACCUGGCAAGAAGAGCCCUGAGACGAGAGUUUGAAGAGACAAGUAAUGUAGACGCUGUGGGAUGCAUUUGAAAGAAGUUAACAAGACAGAAGUAUGACCUUGUGAUUGGAGAACAGAAUCAAAGAAUGACUAUCCUUCCAGCAAACUUCAUAUCAUGAUUACUUCAUGUGAUAAAGAGCUGG